ACGUUGGCGAGUUUGAUCCUGGCUCAGGAUAAACGCUGGCGGCGCGCUUAAUGCAUGCAAGUCGAACGGUCCCGAGUUCGCUCGGGAUAGUGGCGAACGGGUGAGUAACGCGUGGGCGACCUGCCCUCCAGUGGGGAAUAACUCCGCGAAAGUGGGGCUAAUACCGCAUGACAUGGCCAGCUUGAAUGCUGGCCAUCAAAGCCUUCGGGCGCUGGAGGAGGGGCCUGCGUUCUAUCAGCUUGUUGGUAGGGUAAUGGCCUACCAAGGCGAUGACGGGUAGCUGGUCUGAGAGGACGGUCAGCCACACGGGCACUGAGACACGGGCCCGACUCCUACGGGAGGCAGCAGCAGGGAAUCUUGGGCAAUGGGCGAAAGCCUGACCCAGCGACGCCGCGUGGGGGAAGAAGGCCUUCGGGUCGUAAACCCCUUUUCUCGGGGAAGAGUAAGGACGGUACCCGAGGAAUAAGUCUCGGCCAACUACGUGCCAGCAGCCGCGGUAAUACGUAGGAGGCGAGCGUUAUCCGGAUUUACUGGGCGUAAAGGGGAUGUAGGCGGCUUACCAAGUCUGGGGUGAAAGCUCCCGGCUCAACCGGGAGAGGUCUUCGGAUACUGGUAGGCUUGAGGGCAGCAGAGGGAGGUGGAAUUCCCGGUGUAGCGGUGAAAUGCGGAGAUAUCG
rnacentral:rRNA from 1 species